rnacentral:rRNA from 1 species
UCCCAGACUCCUACGGGAGGCAGCAGUGAGGAAUAUUGGUCAAUGGCCGGAAGGCUGAACCAGCCAAGUCGCGUGAGGGACGACUGCCCUAUGGGUUGUAAACCUCUUUUAUAAGGGAAGAAUAAAUGCUACGUGUAGCAUGAUGCCUGUACCUUAUGAAUAAGCAUCGGCUAACUCCGUGCCAGCAGCCGCGGUAAUACGGAGGAUGCGAGCGUUAUCCGGAUUUAUUGGGUUUAAAGGGUGCGUAGGCGGUAUUUUAAGUUAGUGGUAAAACGUCGGGGCUUCACCUUGAUUGGCCAUUAAAACUGGAGUACUAGAGUACAGACGAGGUAGGCGGAAUAAGUUAAGUAGCGGUGAAAUGCUUAGAUAUAACUUAGAACCCCGAUAGCGAAGGCAGCUUACCAGACUGUUACUGACGCUGAAGCACGAGAGCGUGGGUAGCGAACAGGAUUAGAUACCCUCGUA